rnacentral:lncRNA from 1 species
CCAGACGCUUGUAUUUCACCACCUUGCAUGCAUCUGGUGGUUGAUAUUUAAGGGGUAAAUAAUUACACUUUAAAAUAGUUCAGGGGGUAAUAGGACCCCCGUAAAGGAAAGGUGUGUAGUUGGAAAUUUGGCCAUAGGAUGGAGUGGAUUUUAUACAUUAUCCCUAAUAUAUCAUCUCUAUAACAACACUUCAUUAACAAUAAAAAAAUAUCGGAACAAACGAAGUUAUUAAAGAGAGGCUUGACUGUAAAAUUCUAACAACUUUUCGAGAAAAUAGUGCAAUUUCACUUGGAGUGGAUAGAAAUUAAAUUACAAGGAUAUAAAACAUAGUCGAUACAAUAGUGAUAUGUAAAAACAAUCUUGUAAAAUACAGUGAUUUUUUGUUUCAAGGGCAGCAACAGCAGACACAAUUUAAGCAGCUCUCGCAAGUUUUGUGGCAGCAGAAACAGCAACAUAGCGUGAACAUGCUGCAAUUUUAAGAUUUAAAAUACGAAAAUAAAAAUAAAAUUAGAGCAUGAAUACUUAUAAAUCAGUCAACUAUAAAUUAAUUUCAAAUUAGCUCGCAUAAGUUAAAUUCACCAUAUAUAGUUACACUAUAGUUAAACUAGUCGAGAGGGGUUGCUAUGAUGGUAAGCUACCCCCACUUCCAAUCAAGAGGUUGUGAGUUCGAGUCUCCCCAAGAGCAAGGUAGGAAGUUCUUGGAAGGAAGGAUGCCGACGAUCUAUUUAGAAACAACCUCUCUAUCCCAGGGUAGGGGUAAAGUCUGCAUAUAUCUUCCCAAGAUACCACUAAGUUGGAUUAUACAAGAUGGUUGUAGUUGUUGUUGUUGUUUCCCUGUAUAUAUGCGUGUAACCUCUCUACCCUAGUAUAGGGGUAAGGUCUGCGUACAUACUACUCUCUCCAAAUUUCACUAAAUGAGAUUAUACUGGGUUGUUGUUUUAUAGCUAAACUAGUCAUAGAUGUACUGCGGUGCAUGAAAUUAUGUACAUGAAAAAAUUGAUUUGCUAGUAAGAUCGUGGGUUCAGGAGAAUUCCAAUUUAUAGAGUAGAUCUGCCCCUGAAGUGUGCUCCGAGUUAAAUUAAACUAGUAUUCUCAGCAAUUAGUAUGGAACAUAGAUAUAUACGUAAAAAAAAUCACUAAAAUUUUAAUAAAUAUUAAAUACGAAAUUGUAGCUUCAUAUAAGUAAUGAACUUUGUAUAAUAUGAACUUAAGAUUGAACAUAUUAUGUUUAAAUUUUGAAUUCGCCUCUCUAUACAUGAAAUUGCUCGAAAACAUUAAAAAAUUAAAUAAAAUGAUGAGAGUUAAAAAAACAAACCAAGCGUAGAGGCAACCCUUUUCUUCUCGGCGUUUUUGGACAUGAUCAUAAUAUGACAUAUUUUGAUAUUUUGGAGGAGAAUUCAUUUUCUUUCUUUCUUCUUUUUUCUGUAUUUUUUGCCAAUUUUCUUUCUUGGUGUGAAGAGAAAUGGAAAGUUUUGCCAAAGAUAAAGUAUGUGAAGUUGAUAAGAAUAUAAAUGGACUAGAGGUGAAUAAUCAAUGAAC